rnacentral:rRNA from 1 species
CCUACGGGAGGCAGCAGUGAGGAAUAUUGGUCAAUGGACGAGAGUCUGAACCAGCCAAGUAGCGUGAAGGAUGACUGCCCUAUGGGUUGUAAACUUCUUUUAUAAAGGAAUAAAACGAGGCACGUGUGCCUUUUUGCAUGUACUUUAUGAAUAAGGAUCGGCUAACUCCGUGCCAGCAGCCGCGGUAAUACGGAGGAUCCGAGCGUUAUCCGGAUUUAUUGGGUUUAAAGGGAGCGUAGAUGGGUUGUUAAGUCAGUUGUGAAAGUUUGCGGCUCAACCGUAAAAUUGCAAUUGAUACUGGCAGUCGUGAGUACAGUUGAGGUAGGCGGAAUUCGUGGUGUAGCGGUGAAAUGCUUAGAUACCACGAAGAACCCCGAUUGCGAAGGCAGCUUACUAAACUGUGACUGACAUUGAUGCUCGAAAGUGUGGGUAUCAAACAGGAUUAGAUACCCGGGUAGUC